rnacentral:rRNA from 1 species
AUUGAACGCUGGCGGCAUGCUUUACACAUGCAAGUCGAACGGCAGCACGGGGGCAACCCUGGUGGCGAGUGGCGAACGGGUGAGUAGCACAUCGGAACGUGUCCAGUUGUGGGGGAUAACCCAUCGAAAGGUGGGCUAAUACCGCAUGAGCUGGCAACAGGAAAGCGGGGGACCCGCAAGGGCCUUGUGCGAUUGGAGCGGCCGAUGUCCGAUUAGCUAGUUGGUGGGGAAAGGCCUACCAAGGCUUCGAUCGGUAGCUGGUCUGAGAGGAUGAUCAGCCACACUGGGACUGAGACACGGCCCAGACUCCUACGGGAGGCAGCAGUGGGGAAUUUGGACAAUGGGGGCAACCCUGAUCCAGCCAUGCCGCGUGAGUGAAGAAGGCCUGGUGU